rnacentral:tRNA from 1 species
GGGCACGUGGCUAGGUGGUAAAAUGUUUGCCUAGCAUGCAUGAGGCCCUAGGUUCAAUCCCUAGCACUCCCU